UCGCGGCCUAUCAGCUUGAUGGGUKKKAAUGGCUCACCAAGGCGACGACGGGUAGCCGGUCUGAGAGGGCGACCGGCCACACUGGGACUGAGACACGGCCCAGACUCCUACGGGAGGCAGCAGUGGGGAAUAUUGCACAAUGGGCGAAAGCCUGAUGCAGCGACGCCGCGUGAGGGACGAAGGCCUUCGGGUUGUAAACCUCUUUCAGCAGGGAAGAAGCGAAAGUGACGGUACCUGCAGAAGAAGCACCGGCUAACUACGUGCCAGCAGCCGCGGUAAUACGUAGGGUGCAAGCGUUGUCCGGAAUUAUUGGGCGUAAAGAGCUCGUAGGCGGUCUGUCGCGUCUGCUGUGAAAACUCGGGGCUUAACUCCGGGCCUGCAGUGGGUACGGGCAGACUAGAGUGCGGUAGGGGAGACUGGAAUUCCUGGUGUAGCGGUGAAAUGCGCAGAUAUCAGGAGGAACACCGGUGGCGAAGGCGGGUCUCUGGGCCGUAACUGACGCUGAGGGGCGAAAGCAUGGGUAGCGAACAGGAUUAGAUACCCUGGUAGUCCAUGCCGUAAACGUUGGGCGCUAGGUGUGGGGCUCAUUCCACGAGUUCCGUGCCGCAGCAAACGCAUUAAGCGCCCCGCCUGGGGAGUACGGA
rnacentral:rRNA from 1 species